rnacentral:rRNA from 1 species
CAGUCGCCGCGGUAAUACGAAGGGGGCUAGCGUUGUUCGGAAUUGCUGGGCGUAAAGCGCACGUAGGCGGAUAUUUAAGUCAGGGGUGAAAUCCCGCAGCUCAACUGCGGAACUGCCUUUGAUACUGGGUAUCUUGAGUAUGGAAGAGGUUAGUGGAAUUGCGAGUGUAGAGGUGAAAUUCGUAGAUAUUCGCAGGAACACCAGUGGCGAAGGCGGCUAACUGGUCCAUAACUGACGCUGAGGUGCGAAAGCGUGGGGAGCAAACAGGAUUAGAUACCCCUGUAGUCCCUGUCUCUUAUAC